GGCGUCGUGGCGGAGUGGUCUAACGCGAAGGACUCGAAAUCCUUUCCCUUCGGGGGCAUCGGUUCGAAUCCGAUCGGCGUCG